rnacentral:rRNA from 1 species
GAUGAACGCUAGCGGCAGGCUUAAUACAUGCAAGUCGUGGGCAGCAUGAGUGUAGCAAUACAUUUGAUGGCGACCGGCAAACGGGUGCGGAACACGUACACAACCUUCCUAGAAGUGGGGAAUAGCCCAGAGAAAUCUGGAUUAAUACCCCGUAACACAACGACGUGGCAUCACAUCGAUGUUGUAGUUUCGACGCUUAAGGACGGGGGUGCGUAUGAUUAGAUAGUUGGCAAGGUAACGGCUCACCAAGGCUACGAUCAUUAGCUGAGGUGAGAGCAUGAUCAGCCACACGGGAACUGAGACACGGGCCCAACUCCUACGGGAGGCAGCAGUAAGGAAUAUUGGUCAAUGGACGCAAGUCUGAACCAGCCAUGCCGCGUGAAGGAUUAAGGUCCUCUGGAUUGUAAACUUCUUUUAUAUGGGACGAAAAAAAGUCUUUCUAGACCCCUUGACGGUACCAUAUGAAUAAGCACCGGCUAACUACGUGCCAGCCGCCGCAGUAAGAC